GAUCAUGGCUCAGGAUGAACGCUAGCUACAGGCUUAACACAUGCAAGUCGAGGGGCAGCAUUAGGUAGCAAUACUGAGAUGGCGACCGGCGCACGGGUGCGUAACGCGUAUCCAACCUUCCCGUUACUCUUGGAUAGCCUUCCGAAAGGGAGAUUAAUACAAGAUGGUGUUGAAAUUCCGCAUGUUAUUUCAACUAAAGAUUUAUCGGUAACGGAUGGGGAUGCGUGACAUUAGAUAGAUGGCGGGGUAACGGCCCACCAUGUCCACGAUGUCUAGGGGUUCUGAGAGGAAGGUCCCCCACACUGGAACUGAGACACGGUCCAGACUCCUACGGGAGGCAGCAGUGAGGAAUAUUGGUCAAUGGCCGGAAGGCUGAACCAGCCAAGUAGCGUGAAGGAUGAAGGUUCUAUGGAUUGUAAACUUCUUUUAUGAGGGAAUAAAACCUCCCACGUGUGGGAGCUUGUAUGUACCUUAUGAAUAAGCAUCGGCUAACUCCGUG
rnacentral:rRNA from 1 species